AUUUUCUGAGUUUCAUCCUGCCAGACCUCUCAUUUUAAAGAUUGCUUCAGAAAUGAGAUCUGUGUUACCUUAACACUGGUUCUUUUCUGGAUACAUGUCCUGCUGUUAACUGAAUACAUGACAGAAACACUGGAGACAUAUAUUGGGCAAUUUCUAUGCUAACCGUUAAAUGGACCCUGCGUCAUCAUGAAAUCCAAUCCACAUCCAUUCUGCUUAGAAUACCAUCUUCCAUUUUGCAUCAAUAUUCCCAGAAUUCCAACCAUCCAUCUCUGAAAUCAUGUUGAAAAGAUUUAUCACCUUUCCAGGAAGUCAAGUAAUCGAGCCACAUGUAGUUUUUGUAUCCUCUGUUGGAGAUGUGUAAAGUAACUGCCCGGAACAAAGACGGACAAUAUGGUGUUGCUGAACAAGAUGCACAGAUUUACUGUAAGACAGCCUGGCUUCCAGUUCCAGACACUAGCUAUAACACAAUAAUUCUAUGACCUAAGGCAAGUUAUAGCUUAUCUUUCUAAGUCUCAGUUUACACUGUUAAAAAUGGGAAAAUAAUACCUAUCUGUAAACUUUUUAAUGUGAUUUUUUAUAUGCAACUGCUUUGCACUGUUUAGCCCUAGGUAAGUAUUUAUUAUUACUGUUAUUACAAACCAAUGACUGUACAAUCCUUGUACAUAUUUCCUACUGGAAAUUGCAGAAUUUAUAAAUAAGAACCUAGGCAGAGAAAUCUAGUUGUAAGAGAAGUUUUAAAAAAGUUUUUAAAACUAUGGUUACAUGGCAAGUGUGCUUUUUUUACUUAGAGUACUUUUUUUCUUUUUUAUCUGAUAUGUCUCAGGCAUAGUAGGUAAUGGAGAAUAUGGGGAGUGUUACUACUCCUCCACUGACACUGCAUAAUUAUCCUCCUGGGUGUGAUGAAUUUCCUACUCAAAUAAGAAGUUAAAACAGAGGAAAAAUAUAUAUUGCUUUUAAAAAUCAAAGCCAUUAUUUCUGAAGAGGAAUAAGUUAAAAGGCAGCUGCUAAGUUCUAUGCAGUUCUAAAAACAAAAUUGAAAGUAUUUGUUAAUUGCUGUGGUUUCAUUACUGAAUAAUACUUGAAAUAUGUUGGCCUUCAUUAGGCAAUAUGUUGGCCUUUAUUGACAUCAGUUUAUAGCACAGGUGGAGGAAAAGAAAGUAAAACUUGUGAAAGAUUACACACUGUAAUAUUGGUAAUGAAAAAAUUUUAAAAAUUAACUUUUAAUAUAAAAUGUAAAAUAUUUGCAUAAGAUUUAAAAUAAUAUUAAAAUUACAUUAUUUAAAAAACUAUUAGUUGUUCAAAGGCAAUAUCGAAGAUUGGCAGAGAACUAAAGUAACAGAUACAGCUGAAAUCAUUUUAAAGCAGGAGAGAAAAGGAGAUCAUUGUCUCCCAAUAUUUCUUGAUCCAUAAAGUGGAAAUAUAAUUGGAAUUUCAAAGAAAUAUAAGUAAGCAUUUAUGAAACAAAUGUUUGUAUUGUUUGGGGGACUGAUUAAACUGCCCUUAUGAAGUUUAUAUUCAGUUACUGAAACAUGACGUAUCAAAAGUUUUUAAUCUAAUGUUAAUAAAAUUGGAUGGGCCAGCAUUUAUUGAGUACUCUAGCUUUUAUCAGAG
ensembl:lincRNA